UGGGGAAUUUUCCGCAAUGGGCGAAAGCCUGACGGAGCAACGCCGCGUGAGGGAGGAAGGUCUUUGGAUUGUAAACCUCUUUUCUCAAGGAAGGAGUUCUGACGGUACUUGAGGAAUCAGCCCCGGCUAACUCCGUG
rnacentral:rRNA from 1 species